GAUGAACGCUAGCUACAGGCUUAACACAUGCAAGUCGAGGGGAAACGAUGAGAGAGCUUGCUCUCUUAGUCGUCGACCGGCGCACGGGUGAGUAACGCGUAUCCAACCUGCCUCUGACCAGGGGAUAACCCGUCGAAAGUCGGACUAAUACCUUAUGCAGUCGUCGGAAGUCAUCUGAUGACGACGAAAGAUUUCAUCGGUGAGAGAUGGGGAUGCGUCUGAUUAGCUUGUUGGCGGGGUAACGGCCCACCAAGGCGACGAUCAGUAGGGGUUCUGAGAGGAAGGUCCCCCACAUUGGAACUGAGACACGGUCCAAACUCCUACGGGAGGCAGCAGUGAGGAAUAUUGGUCAAUGGGCGUAAGCCUGAACCAGCCAAGUAGCGUGCAGGAUGACGGCCCUAUGGGUUGUAAACUGCUUUUAUGCGGGGAUAAAGUGAGGGACGUGUCCUUCAUUGCAGGUACCGCAUGAAUAAGGACCGGCUAAUUCCGUG
rnacentral:rRNA from 1 species